GUCCUUUUCUGUGUGACUCUAUGUGCAAUGAAAGGUUAAGAGUGGACAGCUGUUUGGCUAUUUCUUGCUCCAAGUAAGUUAAAAGAAACUGACCAAGUCUAUUCAAGGACCACAAUGAGGGGGGUCAGAAGUGAUUGAUCAUCUCAGCUGCAAACAUGGUCUUUGCCAUAAACUGACCAUAAUAGGAUGAAUGGUUUUCUGUAUCUUUCUGUAUGUAUAUUUCAGGACACUUGCUACGUAGACAGAUCUUAGCACGUAGCGGUCUUGUUUGUAAAGGUAUAUAAGACAUGUGUUGUUUUCAUGGAGAGAGAGUAGUCUGGCUGAUGACACUCCCUCGUGUGCACGAGCAAUAAAAUCUGCUUAUUCAACUCUUUUGGGAAGAAUCUGUGUCUCAAAGUUACUGAGCAUUCACAGUUGGGGGCUCGUCCGGGAUCCCACAUUUCGGACUCAGGAUCCAGACGGUGCAGACUCACGAUCCUUUACCCAACAUUGAGCUCAUCUAAAAAAAGUCUCUCAAAUCACAGGUGCAAGCAGUGCGCACGGACACAGGACGACAAACCAAUUCACCAAAUCCAACCAGGAGAAUACGUAUUGGUCAAGAGUUUUUAAAAGAAAGAAA